rnacentral:rRNA from 1 species
GAUGAACGCUGGCGGCGUGCCUAAUACAUGCAAGUCGAGCGAACGGACGAGAAGCUUGCUUCUCUGAUGUUAGCGGCGGACGGGUGAGUAACACGUGGAUAACCUACCUAUAAGACUGGGAUAACUUCGGGAAACCGUAGCUAAUACCGGAUAAUAUUUUGAACCGCAUGGUUCAAAAGUGAAAGACGGUCUUGCUGUCACUUAUAGAUGGAUCCGCGCUGCAUUAGCUAGUUGGUAAAGUAACGGCUUACCAAGGCAACGAUGCAUAGCCGACCUGAGAGGGUGAUCGGCCACACUGGAACUGAGACACGGUCCAGACCCCUACGGGAGGCAGCAGUAGGGAAUCUUCCGCAAUGGGCGAAAGCCUGACGGAGCAACGCCGCGUGAGUGAUGAAGGUCUUCGGAUCGUAAAACUCUGUUAUUAGGGAAGAACAUAUGUGUAAGUAACUGUGCACAUCUUGACGGUACCUAAUCAGAAAGCCACGGCUAACUACGUG